rnacentral:rRNA from 1 species
GACGAACUUUGGCGGCGUGCUUAACACAUGCAAGUCGAACGGAAAGGCCCUGCUUUUGUGGGGUGCUCGAGUGGCGAACGGGUGAGUAACACGUGAGUAACCUGCCCUUGACUUUGGGAUAACUUCAGGAAACUGGGGCUAAUACCGGAUAGGAGCUCCUGCUGCAUGGUGGGGGUUGGAAAGUUUCGGCGGUUGGGGAUGGACUCGCGGCUUAUCAGCUUGUUGGUGGGGUAGUGGCUUACCAAGGCUUUGACGGGUAGCCGGCCUGAGAGGGUGACCGGCCACAUUGGGACUGAGAUACGGCCCAGACUCCUACGGGAGGCAGCAGUGGGGAAUAUUGCACAAUGGGCGGAAGCCUGAUGCAGCAACGCCGCGUGCGGGAUGACGGCCUUCGGGUUGUAAACCGCUUUCGCCUGUGACGAAGCGUGAGUGACGGUAAUGGGUAAAGAAGCACCGGCUAACUACGUGCCAGCAGCCGCGGUGAUACGUAGGGUGCGAGCGUUGUCCGGAUUUAUUGGGCGUAAGGGCUCGUAGGUGGUUGAUCGCGUCGGAAGUGUAAUCUUGGGGCUUAACCCUGAGCGUGCUUUCGAUACGGGUUGACUUGAGGAAGGUAGGGGAGAAUGGAAUUCCUGGUGGAGCGGUGGAAUGCGCAGAUAUCAGGAGGAACACCAGUGGCGAAGGCGGUUCCCUGGGCCUUUCCUGACGCUGAGGAGCGAAGGCGUGGGGAGCGAACAGGCUUAGAUACCCUGGUAGUCCACGCUGUAAACGGUGGGUACUAGGUGUGGGGUCCAUUCCACGGGUUCCGUGCCGUAGCUAACGCUUUAAGUACCCCGCCUGGGGAGUACGGCCGCAAGGCUAAAACUCAAAGGAAUUGACGGGGCCCCGCACAAGCGGCGGAGCAUGCGGAUUAAUUCGAUGCAACGCGUAGAACCUUACCUGGGUUUGACAUGGAUCGGGAGCGCUCAGAGAUGGGUGUGCCUCUUUUGGGGUCGGUUCACAGGUGGUGCAUGGCUGUCGUCAGCUCGUGUCGUGAGAUGUUGGGUUAAGUCCCGCAACGAGCGCAACCCUUGUUCACUGUUGCCAGCACGUUAUGGUGGGGACUCAGUGGAGACCGCCGGGGUCAACUCGGAGGAAGGUGGGGAUGACGUCAAGUCAUCAUGCCCCUUAUGUCCAGGGCUUCACGCAUGCUACAAUGGCUGGUACAGAGAGUGGCGAGCCUGUGAGGGUGAGCGAAUCUCGGAAAGCCGGUCUCAGUUCGGAUUGGGGUCUGCAACUCGACCUCAUGAAGUCGGAGUCGCUAGUAAUCGCAGAUCAGCAACGCUGCGGUGAAUACGUUCCCGGGGCU